CAGUCCCACAAAAUGCCAAUGGAAUAUGCAAAUAAUAUUUUCUUUCCAGAUGUCAUUUGAGAGGUAGAAAUUGCUAAAACAACAUUCUCAACGCGGUUUGUUCUUCUACCUUCAGAGGUGGGCCUUUGUACAGUUCAUGAUAGUGCCGAAUACAAUAGCAACAAGUGCUCAUUUGUUGGAAUUUUGACCUGACUUAAUUCCAGUGCACGAUUGGUUGGUCCAUCUUCAGAUGGAGUUCAUCUCCAGCUGAUGCACUUCCGCUCAGUAGGAUAUUUUACCUUGAUUACGCUCAUCUAGGUAACACAUUGUCCUUCAACAUCUUUGGGUAGCUUCAUAAGAAUAGCAAUGGUUGCCACACCUGGAACAUGCUUAUUAGUCUUUAUGUCUUUAUUACUCGGACGGUGGAUGUACCGGGUUAGGGCUGCACCUAACGUGGUCCAGUUUCCUCCCGCGGCUGCGAUUUCACUGGAACAGACUGUCAGUCUGGGCUGCAGUUUGAAGGGAGAUAGCAUGAGUACAUACACCAUGUUUUGGUAUCGGCAAAAGGGACGCGUUAUAGAGUGGAUAUGCAGUGGGUAUGGCGGCUGUGGGAUCGAUUUCCAGAAUCGCUUCACCGUCCAGCUCAAAACUGAAAGCAAUAAAUUCAGCUUGCAACUGAACAACCCCGAACAGACAGACUCUGCGAUCUAUUUCUGUGCUGCCAGUAAAGCACAGCGGUACAAAACUGCACCAGACAGAUACAAAAACGUCCAGAAAGCAUUUAGAAGCACCCGUGGAAAUUCUCAGUAAUGUACGUUCUGGCAUUUCUGUGAUUCUUUUCAGAAAACGCGACAUUCCAAAAAAAUGCCCUAUCAUCAAUUGAAUCGAUUCUUUUGAUGUGCGUCAUGAUUGCAAACUCGGAGAAAAGGCAGAAAAAUGCACAGCAAGCUCCCAAACAUAGCAAACAAGGGUUAGGCACACGCCUUCAUGUUAAAGGAGGAACAAAACAUCACUCGGUACACUGACAGCACUGUAAGAACGCUACGCCCACAGCCUACAGUAUUUCACGACGUGCCGCAAAUGCUCAAUAUUAUUUGAUAAUAUCAGACUGGGCACUGCUGAUGUCGUCUCCUAAUGUGAAUUUAACCCAAAAUCCUACAACUGAGAGGCGAGAGUGCUGUCAAAUGAAUCACUCUGGACUGGACAUGGCUCGAUGUUGCCGAAAGUUUCUCUGUCACUUACCUGAGAUCCUUUAUCAUGGGCCACAUGUUACAUAAUGUUUCUUUAGUGUGAAAUCCAAGCCCAGUCAAACUGAACCCUGCU